GAGGGCAUAGCUCAAGUGGUAGAGCACAUGCUUAGCAUGCACAAGGCCCUGGGUUCAACCCCCAGUACCUCCU
rnacentral:tRNA from 1 species